CCGCAUUACGUUGAACCACCGGUUCUUGUAUGAUAGCCGAAGUUAAGCAACGUCGAGUCUGGUCAGUACCGAGAUGAGUGGCCGCUUGGGAAUACCAGGUGU